AUUUUGUCUUUGCCGGAGAUAGACCAGGACUGAAGCCUUAGAACUUUUACAACAGUGGUGAUGUCAGCAAAGCUCCCGGAAGAGUGGCUGCUGUUAGUUAAUUGCUGGCUACUUUGCAGCCAGCAAAGAGGGUCACUCCGGAACUAGUUUGCUAUUGCAGGGUCGUUAAAGUGUAUCGUCCACCUCCCCAUUCUCACUGAUGUCAAUGGGAAGAGGCCAUGGAAACUGAGGGCACAAGAUGGAAUUAAAUUAAAUACUCCAUGGAGAAAGGUAGAAGUAAGCCUCUUCCUUCAUUUCUGCUGGCAGCAGCUGGCCACGUCACGCAUAGCACGAAGGUCAAAGGGAACGGAGAUGCCCUGCCCUCAUCCAGGAGUCUGUCUCUCCCAGC